rnacentral:rRNA from 1 species
GACGAACGCUGGCGGCGUGCCUAAUACAUGCAAGUCGAACGCUUCUUUCCUCCCGAGUGCUUGCACUCAAUUGGAAAGAGGAGUGGCGGACGGGUGAGUAACACGUGGGUAACCUACCCAUCAGAGGGGGAUAACACUUGGAAACAGGUGCUAAUACCGCAUAACAGUUUAUGCCGCAUGGCAUAAGAGUGAAAGGCGCUUUCGGGUGUCGCUGAUGGAUGGACCCGCGGUGCAUUAGCUAGUUGGUGAGGUAAAGGCUCACCAAGGCCACGAUGCAUAGCCGACCUGAGAGGGUGAUCGGCCACACUGGGACUGAGACACGGCCCAGACUCCUACGGGAGGCAGCAGUAGGGAAUCUUCGGCAAUGGACGAAAGUCUGACCGAGCAACGCCGCGUGAGUGAAGAAGGUUUUCGGAUCGUAAAACUCUGUUGUUAGAGAAGAACAAGGACGUUAGUAACUGAACGUCCCCUGACGGUAUCUAACCAGAAAGCCACGGCUAACUACGUG